GGGCGCGAAAAUUUCUCUCAGGCUCUGCUAGACACAUUCUACCUAAGAAAGGAACAGCACCAUAGACAUAAUACAUUUUAUUUGGUAUUUUAUAUGUCUAUGAACAACACGGCUGGAACAGGACUGAAAAGUUCAGUUUCAUCGUGUCUUCCCUUCAACACUUGUGUUGUGAUUCUCUCUUUGAGCUCCUCCACACUCUUCUUAAUGAAGGCAAGCCCACAAGCUGUGUGGUGUCUACAUCGAAAAAGAGGCAGCUGAAUGUGAGUUUCAUGCGUCUAUUGGGUUUUUCUAUCAGCACAGAGGCAGACAUCAGUUAGACAGAUGCUCAGAACAUGAAGGUAAGUGUCUCUCAAGUUGAUAGAGGUGAGUAAUCAAGCAUUGUCAGGGAUACGGGGACAACACUACUGGCUGUCAAUUGAGAUUCGCUUUAGGUGGUAAUCUUCCGGAUUCUUACCAUUUCUCUAAGAUAAGACAGAAAGAAGUUAAACCCACUUACUGUAAAUUGCUCUCCUAUUCUGACAUC